UGGCUUAUGAUGAUAAUUUAACUAUCUUAGCGGAUUUCAGUGAGAUUGUUUUAUCAAGGAUCUGAAUGUUACACACACUGAAGCCA